rnacentral:tRNA from 2 species
GCCGGAGUGGCGAAAUUGGUAGACGCGCUGGACUCAAAAUCCAGUACUGGCGACAGUGUGUCGGUUCGAGUCCGACCUCCGGCACCA